CGCAUCCGAAGAUUGACACCUGUAAGCCUCGGUCGAAGUCGAAGGGUUUGAGCGGUGAAGGAAAUCGUGGGCACUCAAAGAAAUCGUGGGUAGUUAUUCGUCAAAGUGGGGGAAGUGGAUCGACGCGUGGCAUCAUGGGAGGGUUUUGUAACCUCCAGACGGUUAUUUCCAACUAGUAUUUAAGCCAAUGUUAGGUGAGAUUUUAGAGGUGGCAUUUUGAACAUUUGCAGUAGGGGUAAAACUUGAAGUAUC
rnacentral:lncRNA from 1 species